UUUGUUAGGGUGUGUUAGAUAUGUUGCUGAUCGAAACAUAUCCAUUUUUAUGCUUUUAUGUUGUUGAAAAAUUAUUCUUGUUUAUUUUCAAUUUUGACAGUUUGUUUCUUGAUUAGUUUUUUGUUGAUUGACGCACGAAGUGCAAAACUAAAAGAAAGUUGACUCAAUUUGGAAAUUGGGAAAAGUGAACUCUGAUCAAGUUUGCGGAUCCCGUCAAGUAGUCCGGAUGGGCUGCUGCUGACGGUCACGAAAAUUUUAAUUUAAAGACCGCCAUUUAUAAGUUGCCCCCGGAAUGCAUAGGAGAAAUAAGAACGGAUAAAUGGCAAACUCCUUUGAUGACGGAUGCUGACGAUUUGCUGGAUAAUAGGUUCCAAUAAGCUACCCGGAUAUACGGCUGUUGACGAAUUCUAUCGGAGGCCGUGCUGCUGGUGUCACCAAGUUGCCUCCGGAAAACAUAACCUGAUGCGGAAAGCGAAACGGUACCGACAAUUUAUGGAAUGAAUCCUGAAUUUCAACAAAACGAGCGGAUGGUCUGCUGCUGAUCUGACGUUGUUUACUGCGAUUGUGGGGAUCCCGGUAUUAGGCAUCCGGAAUGCAUGGGCUGCAGGACAAAAAACUGUCCUUUGAGUAAGGAGAUUGCCGACAAUUUGCAAACGAAUUCAAUUUUCAAGAUACCUUCCGGAUGUACAGCAGUCGAGGAUGUUUACCGAUUUCGUAUGGAUGCCGAUAUGAAGCUGUCUGCGGAACGCAUAUACAGCUGAAAGUAAAAAGGCACCAGUCGAACAGAACUUCAACUUUGAUGCCGUUAAUGUUUGGCACCAGUCGAACAGAACUUCGACUUUGAUGCCGGUAAUGUUUUACAUUAUGGCCAAGCUGACUCCGGAAUCAUCCGAAAGCAUCGUAAAUGUUAAAAUUUGAGCCUUUCAAAUAAUGAUUUUCUAUUUUCGAUUGUGGAUCAAUUUGAUUUUGAUGCAUGAUUUUUUCCAGCCGGAUUUGAUUGCGGGUUCAUGUUGGGAAAUUUCUUGACUUCCCUGACCUUAGUAUUGUCGGGCCGCCACCAAACCGGACCGCGCGAUUGAGCACUCGCGCUGCGACGCGAGUCGCGACAAUUUGAAAUAUUUCAUUAGUAGUGCGCAUCAUGCACGCAUGGAUGUACUAUCAUGCGCACUAAUCAGAAAUGAGUUGCGACGUCUGAUAACUGCAGAUAUUUCAUUUUAUUGAAAACAAAUUUUCGAUUUUCUACUAUACACGGAAUAUCAUCAUGUUAGUCACAUAAUAUAAAAGCCAAUUUGCUAGCUUGGCUUAGUAACCCUGUGAUUAGUAACUUAAUAUAUUAACACUGAGCUGCCGAGGCCCCAAAACCCAGAAUAGAGAUGGAAUUGUCAGAGAGAUACCUAGAGGAAUUCCUAAAAGAACUACUAGAAGAAUACUCAGAGGCACAUCUGAAAGAAUUUAAGAACACCAAGAGUAACUGCCACCAGAAGUUUAUCUAUAGACAAUCCCUCCAGUAGUUCCUUAAUUCCGCUAGAAGUGUCUCUGGGAUUUUUUUUCUAAAUUUAUCUAUAAAUUUCGUCAGGAGAUCUUCUUGGUAUUUCUCCAGUGGCUUUUGAAUUCUCUAGAAGUUCCUCUGGAAAUUCUUUAAAAAGUUUUUUUUUCUGGAAAUUCUAGAAAUUCAGGAGAUUUUCUGGGUAUUUCAUCAGUUGUUCCUGAAUUCUCUAGCAGUUCCUCUUAAAAUUCUUCCAAAAGUUUUUCUGAGAAUUCCUUCAAAAGUUCUUCUGAUAAUCUCUUUAUGAGUUCCUCUGAUACUCGCUACAGGAGUUCCUCAGCGAAAUUCCCAAGAAAUUUCUUCAGGAGAUCAUUUGAAAAUUCUUCCAAAAGUUUUUUUUAUCUGAGAUUUCCUUCAG